UACGUAGGGGGCAAGCGUUGUCCGGAAUCAUUGGGCGUAAAGAGCGUGUAGGCGGCCAGAUAAGUCCGCUGUGAAAACUCGAGGCUCAACCUCGAGCCUGUCGGUGGAAACUAUUUGGCUAGAGUCCGGAAGAGGAGAGUGGAAUUCCUGGGUGUAGCGGUGAAAUGCGGCAGAUAAUCGGGAGGAACACCGGUGGCGAAGGCGGUUCUCUGGGCCUGUACUGACGCUGAGGAGCGAAAGCGUGGGGAGCGAACAGG
rnacentral:rRNA from 1 species